rnacentral:lncRNA from 12 species
CCUACAAUAUUUAAGAUGUCCUCUGGGACUUAAUCUCUAGAUGUGAUUUUGAGGGUCACAAACUUCCCUGAAGCUGCUCUCUGCUACAGAAAAAAUGUCUCUAAUACCCUGAAAGCAUCUUCGAUGGCACUUGACAUUUAUGUGUAUGCAACAGAACCAAGCCCCUCCGAUUCCAAUUAGGUAUGAUCUACUAAUAGACAUCAUAUUGUGGGUUUUGCUCCGGUUUUCAGGAAAUUUUCAGGAAAUUUUCCCAGAGGAGGUUUGCCUUGAGAAGGGCAGCUCCCAUGGCCAAUAUGAGAGGGGAUCCUUAACUGCAAAACAACAGCCAUUUUCCUAGAGGACAUCCAAUUGGCAGGUAUAGCUACUCCCUUAUGAAUAUUUCAGAAUUUUCCUGAGGAACUGCAAGAUUAGGCAAAGAUUAGGCAGCUAUACAUGAAACACUGUCUUUAUAGUAUAAAUUAAUUGUAUCAUUGAUUCCCGUGACAUCCUUUGACAUUCUUAAAUUGUCUCUUGCAUUAGUGGCUCCUUUUAAA